AAACUCAAAGGAAUUGACGGGGACCCGCACAAGCGGUGGAUGAUGUGGAUUAAUUCGAUGCAACGCGAAAAACCUUACCUACCCUUGACAUGUCCGGAAUCCUGCAGAGAUGCGGGAGUGCCCGAAAGGGAAUCGGAACACAGGUGCUGCAUGGCUGUCGUCAGCUCGUGUCGUGAGAUGUUGGGUUAAGUCCCGCAACGAGCGCAACCCUUAUCAUUAGUUGCUACGCAAGGGCACUCUAAUGAGACUGCCGGUGACAAACCGGAGGAAGGUGGGGAUGACGUCAAGUCCUCAUGGCCCUUAUGGGUAGGGCUUCACACGUCAUACAAUGGUCGGUACAGAGGGUUGCCAAGCCGCGAGGUGGAGCCAAUCCCAGAAAGCCGAUCGUAGUCCGGAUUGUUCUCUGCAACUCGAGAGCAUGAAGUCGGAAUCGCUAGUAAUCGCGGAUCAGCAUGUCGCGGUGAAUACGUUCCCGGGUCUUGUAC
rnacentral:rRNA from 1 species